UACAGAGGUCUCAAGCGUUGUUCGGAUUCAUUGGGCGUAAAGGGUGCGUAGGUGGCAUGGUCAGUCGGAUGUGAAAUCCCGGGGCUCAACCCCGGAACUGCAUUCGAUACUGCCGCGCUAGAGUACUGGAGAGGAGAUUGGAAUUUACGGUGUAGCAGUGAAAUGCGUAGAUAUCGGGAGGAACACCUGUGGCGAAAGCGGCUCACUGGACCACAACUGACGCUGAGGCGGCGAAAGCUAGGGGAGCAAACAGG
rnacentral:rRNA from 1 species